CUCUGAGGGAAGGAGGGAAGAGCUCUGGAAUGAAGCCGCGGUGGGGGCAGGGAGGGGGAGGGGAGGGAGCGUGUUUGUGCUCCUCUGGACUUUGCCUUGCAGCAAAAAUCCCACCCAAUUAUGGCAUUACUGGGGGGAAACCUGGGCUGCGGGUGGGGUGGGUGACCGAGCCCAGCCUGAGGCACGCAGUCUCUUGCUACCCCCACCUCCCCAGCAGUGAGGCUCUGGGAUUAGAGCCUUGGUGAUGGGGAGCCCCCCAGAGGAUACCAGCUCUGCACACGCAAAGGAGGGCCGCCGUGCCCACCGGCAGGAUGGGCCUACGUGACCCGGUGACUGAGCGCAGCCUGCACCAUCCUGCCCUCCUGCCCCUUGGCUUGCCAAGCCCCUUCUCCUGGCUGCUUUCUUCUCCCCCGUCAGGCCCCGUCCUCUGCCCAUGCCACCUGGUAGUGGGCACACUGAGAGCCGUCCACUUCCCAGGCUGCAGAAGAUAAAGGGAGGAGCAGUCGCCAAGGAUCUAGGCAGGAGCUCCAGCCCCGGGCUCUCAGGGUUCCUGUGUUGCACUGAGACUGGUGGGUUAUGCACAGAAUGGCCACAAAUUUACCUUGAGCAAUCUGAAUUUGAGCCUGCGACCACCUCAGUUUGAUGGCACCAGCAAUCCUCUGAUGGUCACACCACCCUCAGCAGAGGCCCACUGGGCUGUGAGGGUCCUUGAGGAAUCGCCACACUGUCUUCCACAAUGGUUGAACUAAUUUACACUUCCACCAACAUUGUAAAAGUGUUCCUGUUUCUCCACAUCCUCUCCAACAUCUGUUGUCUCCAGAUUUUUAAAUCAUCACCACUCUAACUGGCGUGAGAUGGUAUCUCAAUGUAGUUUUGAUUGGCAUUUCUCUAAUGACUAGUGAUGAUGAGCAUUUUUUCAUGUUUUUGGCCUGAUGUAUGUCUUCUUUUGUAACGUGUCUGUUCAUAUCCUUUGCCCACUUUUUAAUGGGCUUGCUUUUUUUUUCUUGUAUAUCUGUUUUAGUUCUUUGUAGAUUCUGGAUAUCAACCCUUUGUCAGAUGGGUAGAUUGCAAAAAUUUUUUCCCAUUCUGUUGGUUGCCGAUUCACUCUAACAAUUGUUUCUUUGCUGUGCAGAAGCUCUGGAGUUUAAUUAAAUCCCAUUUGUCUAUUUUGA